CGGGGUUUUCAUCUCGGUGAGAGAGAGCGGUGAUUGACGGAGCGGAAAAAUGCUCCAGCGAUGCCGAGAGAAGGCGAAAUAAUAGUGUGAAAGUUUGUUCUUUCGUUGUUAAGUGUUAAAUGAAGACCCAACAGGAUUGAGGCUCGGUGUGUUGGAUCGGGGCGGGGGUGUGUGGUUGUUGCGAGACGUGCGGGUGAGUGUUGUUGUUAGAUUCGGCGAGGUUCGUAAAUGUGCUAUAUGCUAAAUUGUUAGCUGACUAGCAUCGACUGUGCAGGAGCAGAGGAAGACUGGAGUCAGGAUGCAUGUGCGAGGUCGAGUGUUAAUUUCAAGUUCCUGAGUGAGUAUCAGACUGCUUAUUGUUAUCGCAUACACGUUGUGAGUGAGUACGUGUAUGUGAAGUUUUGUUUUUUGUGCUGUCAGUGUGCUUCGGAUACUGUCCGCUCGUGCUGGAACAGUAGAGGUGCUCCGGACUUGCCGCGCCUGGGACUUCGGCAUGUGGACCGACUUUCUCCUUCUUCCGGCUCUGUGCUUCCGUGAUGGUUAUAACAACACACUAAAUUUGCAAGGGACCGUGAGUACAAACGACUUAGAAAUCACACCCACACAAGAGCUCCAACAGCGCGCCAACGUACGUGGUACCACAGACUGAUUUAUAAAAUCCCGGGUAUUAAGAACUAUUAUUUUUUUUCUUCUCUUUUUAUUUCUUUAUCCUGUGAAUAAAUGUGAACAUUUGUGUAUUUAAACGUGUGUAGUUUCUGUUGAUUGAUGUUGUGCACGUUUGGGGGGGCUAUCUUAAAACGUGCAUGGGAGUUAACACUCACACAGACACAUCACACAAUUCCCUGGUUUAUAUUUCGUAGCAUCACCAAUUCCUCUCCCAUGCAAAAUACUGUGUGUAUGAUCUGGUAGGUAAUAGUCUUUUGAAAAAAAUAGGAAUUGAGUAAGGGGGCUACACAAGAACUGUCUCAUCAGCUGACUCCACUAUGCAGAAGAAGAGGACAAAUUACAUGGAGCCAACUGAUCCAGAUCCAGCUUGCCACAUGUCUAAAGUAAGAAUUAUAUUAGGCCAUAGAUUUAUAUAGCAGUUAACCAGCGAAUGUUCACAAAAUUAGAAAAAAUUACAGUUGAUUUUACGGUCUGCAAAAGUUGGUAGCCGAUGUAGAAGCUUGCGUUAACUUUAUGAGGUUUUUAAAUAAAGCGCCCUGGUGUGUAAUGACCCCAAGAGGUUCAGUAAAGCUCUGUGAGGAACUGUCAGUUUCAUGAUGAAGCAGAUUCCCUCAUCCUCUGAACAACGAAUCACAUCUGCUGACUUUUGACCAUCAAAUAUCAUUAUUCAUCCAGGAUAAGAGGAAACUGUGAAAACAGGUUUGUUUCUUCAGCUAACUGGCUGACACCUACCCCCUCCUACCAGUUUCAGCCAUUAAAAAUAAUGAUACAAAAAUCCUCAGGCUUGUCCCUUAUAGUCUUGUUCGCUUUGGAUGACAUGAUCAGGCAUCAUUUUGAAUUUCAGUCCAUUUCAUUCAUGAUGAAAAACUCCCUACAGGAGCUUUAAAUGUAAAAAAGAAAGAAUUUCAGACUUUUUUUUUGUAUAUAAAUAAUGCAUGUAUAGUAAUACGCUUAAAGCCAAAAUGACUAAAAAAUCUCAGAUAUUUUUCUUCUUACUUAAAUUUUUGGCAUCAGGUGAAACAUCUUUGUACAAAAUCUGCUGUUAAAUUCUCUGAGGAUGUUUUGACUAAAUUCUCUGACUAAAAUAUGACGAGAAUCAACCAUCAUUUCCUGUCUGUAUUAAAUUUUUGCUGAUGGGAAGUGGCUGUUUGCUGCAUUACCUGGUAAAUUUCCUGCUUUUUUUAUGUCUCCUCCCUCCACAUUUACGACAGAAAUAAUUACACAAAUUAAAAUGUGACUGGCACACGUCUCAGGUGGCUAAUUGAUGAAAUUGGUUUUCAGCUGAAAGGAUCUGGGACCUCAGAUUCACCAUAUUAACAAUAACUGACAGUUAGUCCACCUAUAAAGGGUCUGUGGUCUGCAGAGUCUCCCCCCUCCAUGAUACUAACAGCCAUAAGUGUCUAUGUGUAAAAGCCGAGGUCGUGGUUUUUAGUGCCUCUGCGGGACACUUUUGUUGUUUUGCCCUCUGCUAAAUACCAAUGUGUUCUGGUAAUUGGUUGUGCUGUCUGUAAUUGCUGCAAUUUCUCUAAAUGCUGCGCUGGUGUUGUCAAAGUGAGAAAGAUUUUCCUCCUUUUUUUGUUAAUUUGCUUGUUUUUUUUCCUUCAAUUAUGGUCCAUUGAGCUCUCAGGGCCACCAUACUUUGCUCUUACAAAAUGACUAAGCACCAGCAGCCCUCAAUACAUCUUCACAAGGCUUUUAAAGCACAUAUCGACAAAACCACAUCCUAUCCAUGUAAAGUAUCGGCUUCAAUCCAUCACUUUAACCCAGCGGAGUCCGUCCAUACACGAGGCUUCGAUCCAGGCUCGUUUAUUUUGUGUGAACUUGUAAAAAUGAAGAAUACAGUGUCAUAAAAACGGCUUUUUUUUUAAACUCAUCUGUGUGUACUCAGGUGGGCGGGCUCACAGUUUGAGUGACAGGACAGCGGAGUCCGCCGGUGGGAAUAAGCUGUGUGAGAAGAGAUUCAUUAGCGCUCUCAAAGGGACUCAGUCAUUUAUAAUUAAAUGCAGAGGCUCUUCAAUAAUAUAUGACCAGCGAUGAGUGUUUUUCCUGUGACAGAGCGUGUUUGACAAAAUACAGAGGAGGACAGAAGCAGAGAUGUAAGAGGACAAACAUGUAAGCGCGCUAAAACUGAUCAGGCAUGAGAAAAAAAAAAGUCAUGUUUGGUUGAAUGAGCAGCUGUUUGUUUCAGCCUCAAACUUCAUCUCUUUAAACAAGUGGAGGAAGUUUUUCAGUUUCAAUGAUUCAGCCUUUAUAUCCUCUUAAACAAUAAAACUACAUAUCUAAAGGCCGUACUUUAUGAAGGGCUGAAAGGACAUGUUUCACCUUGACAAUAACAAUAAUAAUGUUUUUCCAUCCUGACAGACAGCAAAUCUGAAACGGCCUCUCACUUUUUUAUGUAUAAGUUUAGAUACUGUGGCGUGUGGUGUAUUUUGUGGACCCAGAAGCAGACUCAGAGGCAGAUAGCAAAUUAAAGAUGUAUUUAAUGUCCAGAACACGGGGGCACGAGGAAAGUCCGGUUUGGCCGGCUGACUGAUGUGUGGGCUGGAGACACUGUGGAGAAGCAGAAGAGAAAGAGGUGAGAAGACGUAUGAGGAAUCACAGGGAGCAAAAAUCACGAGCACUUAGCCGAGGAGAAGGCCGGGAGAAGCGUCUGUACCGCUCAGGAGCGAAGACAAUACUCAGGCGCUGAGACUGAGGGCUGCUGGCUUCGUAAAGGGCCUUGAUGCAGCACAGGUGUGGAGUCUCGCUCAGCCUCAGCGCCCGGGGAGAGGGAGAGUGCUCUGAAACACAGUCAAGCCAGACCAGGGAAUCAAGGAAAACAGGAAGUUCAACCAAAAUAAAACAGGAGGUGGAGGCGUCUCACCACAGAUACCAAAUUAAGGAGUAGUGCACUUUCCUGUUUCCUAAAAACUGAUCAGAAAUCGAUCAAAAUAUAACAUACUACUGCGUCAGAGAGUCUGCAUCUCUCCACUUGUCAGGAAGGGGAUGUCUAUGCUCAUCAUAUCACUAGUUUGCGGUCCAGCUAUGAACCCUCCUCGUUUCUUCACAGGAAACCAUGGCGACUGAAUUCAAGCACCGUAUGUUUGAGUCGAAGCUGGUAAAGACUUGGACGAGCUGCUCUUGUGGGUCAUUUCUCUCUCCUCUGAGCCGUGAUGGGACGCCGCUCAGUCUGCUGGGUUUGUAACUAGCUCCAGUUUGCCUUUAAUGGCGACUGCUGCUCUUUGUCUUCCAGUUGUUAAAUCGUGGGAACUUAUUAACUUGUAAUUUAUUCUAGUGGCCUUAAGUAGUAGCAUCAAACAUAAGGUUAUCGGCAAAUCAGUUUGGCUUGCUUGUCCCACCGUCAUCAGAAAAGUAGGAAGCAUCGUAGCGGCCAACAAACUGUAGUCAGAUAAUCAAAUAUAAGCUGCCACCAUCAAUAUCACCGUUUGCCUCUAUCACAAAAGCCUUUGUGGUUUCUGUAGAGGAAACCGUCGUCAAUCUUCGAUCUUUAGAGAAACAAUCAGCAGUAACAGAGAAGCUUUGAGCAGCUUUGGAGGACGGCGAGGUGAAAUCAUUACUUUCUUGUUUGAUUUGACCACAGUGAGACGAAUGGACCUAGCGUUGUCUUUACAGCCACCGGGGGAGGAGUUUUAUGAACAGAUGCAAGGUCAGCGGCUGAACUGGUGAUGCUUCGGUUACGGAGAUGAUAAAAACCACAGGGGAGUGAUCAUGCAAACGAAGUGUUAUCUUCGUCAACAUUUCCACAGACCGAUGAACCCACGGUGUAGAGGAAGGGGAGGGGAUCAUGUAUGUUGUGUUCGUGUGUGGAAGUGUUUUUCCCUCCACAGCCUGAAAUGAAACCCUGACUGGCAGCCAUAACUCUCCAGUGGCAGGACACAUUUCAUUCGUCCCUUCCCCCCGCGUGUCACCUCUCUCCAUCUCCAUCUCUUUUCUCAUUACGAAUUCAUAUCUACUUCUCUGGGAAACACCAGGGGUUUGAUGUGUCGCUGCUCUUAAACGCUGUUGCUCCCUUUACCGUCAUGUCCACAUAAAUGUUGCUAAAUGGGAGGUAAAGAAUC
rnacentral:lncRNA from 1 species